GCGCCCACCAUGAGCUAGGCUGCUGCAUGGAUUAUAAUUAUCUCAGUACAUCCUCUCAACCCCUGUGACCACCCCCUUUCAGAGAUAAAGGAAACUGAGGCUCAGACAGGCAAUCGCGAUCCUGACUUAAUUGCCAUUGAUUCGUUUUGCCUGGUUUUGAAGUUCCUAUGAGUGAAACCAGUCGGGUAUAUACAGCUGACCCUUGGAUAACACCAGUUUGAACAGAGCAGGUCCACUUAUGCUUGGACUUUCUUCUGCCUCUGCCACACUCGAGACAGCAAGACCAACCUCUCCUCCUCAGCCUGCUCAACGUGAAGACGAAGAGGAUGACCUUUAUGACAAUCUACUUCCACUGAAUGAAUAGUGAAUAUGCUUUCUCUUCCUUGUGAUUUUCUUUCUUUCUUUCUUUUUUUUUUUUUUUUUGAGACACAGUCUCACUCUGUCACCCAGUCUGUAGUGCUGUGGCAUGAUCAUAGCUCGCUGCAACCUUGAACUGGCCUCAAGCGAUCCUCCUGUC